GAUGAACGCUGGCGGCGUGCCUAAUACAUGUAAGUCGAGCGAACAGACGAGGAGCUUGCUCCUCUGACGUUAGCGGCGGACGGGUGAGUAACACGUGGAUAACCUACCUAUAAGACUGGGAUAACUUCGGGAAACCGGAGCUAAUACCGGAUAAUAUAUUGAACCGCAUGGUUCAAUAGUGAAAGACGGUUUUGCUGUCACUUAUAGAUGGAUCCGCGCCGCAUUAGCUAGUUGGUAAGGUAACGGCUUACCAAGGCAACGAUGCGUAGCCGACCUGAGAGGAGGAGAAGCGAAAAGGGAAAGGAGACACGGUCACGAAUCGUACGGGAGGAGGCAGUAGGGAAUAUUGGAAAAUGGGCGCAAGCCUGAUCAAGCAAUACCGCGUGGGUGAAGAAGGUCUUCGGGUUGUAAAGCCCUUUUGUUGGGAAAGAAAAGAAGAAGGCUAAUACCACGCUGUUCUGACGGUACCGAAAGAAUAAGGAACGGCUAACUUCGUG
rnacentral:rRNA from 1 species